GGAUUCAUACUGUAUGUACACAUUGAAACACCUCCUCCUGUGUUGAUGUAUUUCUGGAUUCCAGUAGGGGAUAUCUUUAUGCUAACCAUUAUUUUCUGUGUGUCUUCCCCUUAGCUGGCCAAGCAGUGGAUGCCAUCCAUGUGACCCAGCUGGAGAGGGACACCGUGCUCGUGUGCCUGGACAAAAAUCUAAAGAUCGUGAACCUCAUGGGAAGAUUAAAGUCUAACAAGAAGCUAGCCUCGGAGCUCAGCUUUGACUUCGCCAUUGAUCCGUUGUGUGCCUUCAGGACAGUGUUCUGGCCUUCUGGAAGCACGGCAUGCAGGGAAAGAGCUUCAAGUCCAACGAGGUCACCCAGGAGAUUUCUGUCCCAGUGUAUGUCUUCCGUCUCCUCGGAUCUGACAGGGUGGUGGUUCUGGAGAGCCGGCCCACUGACAACCCCACAGCCCUCAGCAACCUCUACAUCCUGGCCGGACAUGAGAACAGUUACUAGCCCCUUAACCGUGUUACCAGCUCCUAGCUCUGACCCAGUGACUCCACACAGAGGGA